rnacentral:rRNA from 1 species
UAAUACGUAGGGUGCAAGCGUUGUCCGGAAUUAUUGGGCGUAAAGAGCUCGUAGGCGGCUUGUCACGUCGACUGUGAAAACCCGGGGCUCAACUCCGGGCCUGCAGUCGAUACGGGCUGGCUUGAGUGCGGUAGGGGAGACUGGAAUUCCUGGUGUAGCGGUGAAAUGCGCAGAUAUCAGGAGGAACACCGGUGGCGAAGGCGGGUCUCUGGGCCGUAACUGACGCUGAGGAGCGAAAGCGUGGGGAGCGAACAGGAUUAGAUACCCUGGUAGUCCACGCCGUAAACGUUGGGCGCUAGGUGUGGGACCCUAUCCACGGGUUCCGUGCCGCAGCUAACGCAUUAAGCGCCCCGCCUGGGGAGUACGGCCGCAAGGCUA